AGUAGUUCGGUUGCAUCGAAAAAUACAGCCACUCUAUUGGCAUUUGAUACUUCGGGGUAGAGAUGGGGUUGGACCUAAUAACUGUUAGGUGAGGGUCUCAAUGAUGGCUUUACGUCCGUUGGUGAACGAUGGGUCUGACUUAACUAAGAAAUGUGUCAAUAACUGUUAGGUGAGGGCACAGUGAAAGAAUAGUGCUCUGCAAGCCAAUCACAUGGGUAAUGCGAUAGAAAAUUUUUUGUGUUAUCUUUCUACUCAUUUAUAUGAUAUUGAUUAUUUUAUUUAUGAGGUAUUGUAUUUUAUCAUUUGCUGUAUCAUAUUUUUAUGAUUAUGAUAAAUCUCAUAGAUUAGGAUAAUAAUUUUAAGACCAUGAUG
rnacentral:lncRNA from 1 species